rnacentral:lncRNA from 1 species
AAUGGUGAUGACUGACUGUCCAAGCACAAUCUUCAAAAAAAAUUCUGGCAAUAGCAUCAUCAACUAUGGAAGCCGACAAUGGAGAAAAACAAGAGCAACUGAUGUUACGAAGUUGUGGGAUUCCUAUUCACCGAUUGAUGGUCGAGGCUUGGCUAGGUGGCAGAGUAUUGCUAAAAGCCCAAUCAAGAACUCCGGUAAGAAUCUCAAUCUAAAUCUCAAAGUAUCAGAUGGAGGAAAACCAAAACAAGGAGAUACAAAAUAGAGCAUCCCAUUUCAAUCAAAUCCAACGACUUGUCAGUGACAAUAUGAUCAUCGAUGAUGGCUAAG